AUUGAACGCUGGCGGCAUGCUUUACACAUGCAAGUCGAACGGCAGCGCGGGCUUCGGCCUGGCGGCGAGUGGCGAACGGGUGAGUAAUGCAUCGGAACGUGCCCAGUAGUGGGGGAUAGCCCGGCGAAAGCCGGAUUAAUACCGCAUACGACCUGAGGGUGAAAGCGGGGGACCGAAAGGCCUCGCGCUCUUGGAGCGGCCGAUGUCGGAUUAGCUAGUUGGUGGGGUAAAGGCUUACCAAGGCGACGAUCCGUAGCUGGUCUGAGAGGACGACCAGCCACACUGGGACUGAGACACGGCCCAGACUCCUACGGGAGGCAGCAGUGGGGAAUUUUGGACAAAGGGGGCAACCCUGAUCCAGCCAUGCCGCGUGCGGGAAGAAGGCCUUCGGGUUGUAAACCGCUUUUGUUCGGGAAGAAAUCCUCUGGGCUAAUACCCCGGGGGGAUGACGGUACCGGAAGAAUAAGCACCGGCUAACUACGUG
rnacentral:rRNA from 1 species